rnacentral:rRNA from 1 species
AGAGUUUGAUCCUGGCUCAGGAUGAACGCUAGCUACAGGCUUAACACAUGCAAGUCGAGGGGAAACGAUAUUGGAAGCUUGCUUCCGAUAGGCGUCGACCGGCGCACGGGUGAGUAACGCGUAUCCAACCUGCCCACCACUUGGGGAUAACCUUGCGAAAGUAAGACUAAUACCCAAUGAUAUCUCUAGAAGACAUCUGAAGGAGAUUAAAGAUUUAUCGGUGAUGGAUGGGGAUGCGUCUGAUUAGCUUGUUGGCGGGGUAACGGCCCACCAAGGCGACGAUCAGUAGGGGUUCUGAGAGGAAGGUCCCCCACAUUGGAACUGAGACACGGUCCAAACUCCUACGGGAGGCAGCAGUGAGGAAUAUUGGUCAAUGGGCGAGAGCCUGAACCAGCCAAGUAGCGUGCAGGAUGACGGCCCUAUGGGUUGUAAACUGCUUUUAUAAGGGAAUAAAGUGAGUCUCGUGAGACUUUUUGCAUGUACCUUAUGAAUAAGGACCGGCUAAUUCCGUGCCAGCAGCCGCGGUAAUACGGAAGGUCCGGGCGUUAUCCGGAUUUAUUGGGUUUAAAGGGAGCGUAGGCCGGAGAUUAAGCGUGUUGUGAAAUGUAGAUGCUCAACGUCUGCACUGCAGCGCGAACUGGUUUCCUUGAGUACGCACAAAGUGGGCGGAAUUCGUGGUGUAGCGGUGAAAUGCUUAGAUAUCACGAAGAACUCCGAUUGCGAAGGCAGCUCACUGGAGCGCAACUGACGCUGAAGCUCGAAAGUGCGGGUAUCGAACAGGAUUAGAUACCCUGGUAGUCCGCACGGUAAACGAUGGAUGCCCGCUGUUGGUCUGAAUAGGUCAGCGGCCAAGCGAAAGCAUUAAGCAUCCCACCUGGGGAGUACGCCGGCAACGGUGAAACUCAAAGGAAUUGACGGGGGCCCGCACAAGCGGAGGAACAUGUGGUUUAA